AUUCUACUCCCUUCGUUGCACAAUAUAUGCCUUGUAUUUGUCAAAAUAUAUAUGUAUCUAGACAUGUCUUAGUAUAUAGGUACAUCCACUUUUGGACAAUGGAAGUCAAGUAUUUUGGAACGGAGGGAGUACACA
rfam:Triticum urartu cultivar G1812 contig994295, whole genome shotgun sequence.